rnacentral:lncRNA from 1 species
GCCAGUCUUUCAGUGUAAUUUGUCCCAGAUUUACAUUGUAAUUUGUCCCGGAUUUACAGUGUAUAUUGAGUGGAUAUUACAGUGUUAUUUGGUUGUAAUUCCAGUGUAGACUUACAGUGUAAUUUUAUCUCAGUAUUGCAGUAUAAUUUGUCCCAAAUUUAUGGUGUAAUUUCUACCAGAUUUAUAAUUUAAUUAACCUUUUUCAGUGUGGUAUUGAGUGAAUUUUCUAUGUUAUUUGAUUGUGAUUGCAGUGUAGUUCAUCCCAGCAUUACAGACUUCUAAUUGUAAUUCACCCAUUAAUUCCAGUGGAUUUAUAGUGUAAUUCGAAUGUAGUUUCAGUGUAAUUUACCCCAACAUUAGAGUGUAGUUUACCCAAUAAUUCCAGUGUGGGUUGUUAUUGGAUUUUGAGUGGUUUUGUCAGUGUAUUUUAGCCCGUCUUGCACACUGUUUGCACAUUAAUUUUGUCUAUUUUCCAAUGUAAUUAAGUCCAGUUUGCUCAGUAAUACCAUUGGUUCCUAUAUAUUAUUUAGCUAGUAUUCAAUGUUCCUUGCUUGGUUCAGUACUGUAGGGCGGUUUUCAUUUAGCUCACUUUAAUGCCUUCUUCAUUGAGGAAUUCAUCGUCUCCUUGUUCAAGUGAGUCUUCUGGUUCUUUUUUUUCUCCUUCUCCAUUCCUUUGACCCGUGCUUGAGUUCGUGUUAGCUGCUGCUCUACUGCAAUCAACAUCUUCAGGCACCUGCAACUUUUAGGGAUUUCUUUUAGUUAUUUUCUUCUGAAAUGUUAUGAGUUUCUCUUAGGUUCAUCAUUGUAUUUCUGAAUUUUGUGGUGUGUACAUGUUGCAGAUUCAUGUUAUAGAACAGGUUUGUGUCCCAGGGAUUACAUCCUCCUCCUCCAUCUUCGCUUGCUGCCACUUAAUUAUGCAAGUUUGCCUCCAAUGUCUGCAAAUGUAAGUUUCAAUGAUUGUUAGUGUGUUUUUCUUUGGCAUUUUCUUGUAAUAGUUAUUCAGCUCUUGUUUUGCUUACAUUGUCAUCUUGUUGUGAUGAAACUGUCAUCUGGUUUGCUCACUUGAAUGUUCGUAGAUCCAUCUCCUGAAUGUACCUGCAAGAUUCAUCACAAGUUUAAUUUUAGACAUCUCAUGAAUGUCCGUGGUAUUUUUUGUUUUUGUCACUUUACCUUGUAUAUAUUGUCGGAAUGAAGGAGCGCAGUGAAAUAAAACGUUUCUUGCAUCAUAAUUUUGUUAGCCUUUUACCCUUUUUAUGUAUUUUUAAACAUCUUCCCAAUGUUUUAGCAACUAUAUCUCACAUUUAGUAUGAGUUAUUCCUGUGAUAACUCAGUAGAUCCUCUUCAGUCACUACCCUCAUCAUGCUCCUGUCCUGUCACAAUUGGAAAGUAGAAUGUUAGUGUUAACAUAAUCAUGAGUAACAAAGCAUUUUAGUAAUAGAUGCUUGAAUGCAUUCUGUAUGCUUGAAUGUUAAUGCUAGUAUUUUGUAAUGUCUGCAUGCUUGAAUGUAUUCUGUAGAUUGUGUUUGUGCUUAUGCUCUCUGCUUUCUAUGUUCUUUCUAUGCCUGAAUGUUUUCUAAGGCUUUUACACUGCAAAUUACUAGGUAAAAGUGUAAUUACCUGAGUUUUCUUCUAGUUUAUUUUCACUGUGGAUUUUACUGGUUUCUUAGUGUAAAACCCCUAGAUUUUUGCACUAGAAUUUCUAGAGAUUUAUAGUGGAAAUUUCUAGGUAGCUACAGUGUAAUUUUUCCCUGGCAUUUACACUGUAAUUUAAUUUGUAGAUACCUACAAUUUAAUUUACAUUGUAAGUAGUACCUACAGUGUAAAUUACACUGGAAUUUUUACAAGGUACUUACAGUGUAACCUACAUCAUUCUGGUGUAACUUACACUGGAAUUUAAUUUGUAGAUUCUAGGUAUGUACAGUGUAAUUAAACUGGAAUUUACCAUGUACUUACAAUGUAAAGCUAGGAAAUUGUGUGUAAAGUUUGGCUGCUGCCCAGUGGCAAGUAACCAUGGAUAGAUAGUUCAUUUUGUAUUACAAACCAGGUUACUAGGUAAUUGCAUCAUUUGUCUCAGGUUUACACUGGAAUUUAUAUCAGAUUUAUCCCACACUGAAAUUCCAGAUUUUACAAUUUUUUGUAUGUAAAUUACUAGGUAUGUACAGUGUAGUUAAACUGGAAUUUACUGUGUACUUACAAUGUAAUUGCACAAUUUGUCUCAUGUUUACACUGGAAUUUACACCAGAUUUCACAAGUUAUUGGGAUUUACACUGUAUUUUUUUAUGAUUUACAGUGUAAAUUACUAGGUAUGUACAGUGUAAUUACAUCAUUUGUCUCAUGUUUACACUGGUAUUUAUGGGGGAUUUACAUGGGAAAUUAUGGAGAAUUUACACUACAAUUUAAUUACAUGGGGAUUUGCACUGUAACUUUCUGGGAAUUACACUGGAAUUUUAUAGGAUUUACACUGGAAAAUGACUACCACUUGCACUAUAAGCUUCUGAAUGUUUUCUGAAUUUUUCCUGUAUUUUUUAUGUUAAUCCCCAUGUAUCUUUCCUAGAAUUAUAGGUGAUCUUGAUCUCUCUAUUUUGAAGAUGAAGAAAAUUCCUUCAGAUUUUGUUAAUGAAAGAGGUGAAGAGAGAUGAUGGUGAGGAGUUUGUGUACGAUUGUUGCUGACCUGUUGAUUCCCCGAUCUCCCAUGGCAGCCUCUCCCUUCCCCAUGGGCGCCUUCCAGAUUUGUUCUAGGCUGUUAGGUGAGAUCUUUGUAGUGGUUGAUGGCAAUUGGCGUGUUUUGUUGUGCCUGGGAUCGGACAAAUCGGGUCAGAUGUUUACCCGACCCGUUUAGACGAUCAGAAGGUUUUUUUUAGCUAUCUGCUGAUUUUCCUGCUCGCUCACGUGUAAUGUGUUGAUUGGUCAGGAAAUUUGACUGUUUUCGAAUUGAAAAACAGUCAAAUGUCAAAUAGACAGUCCCUUACUUUAUAUAUAGCUCACAUCUACAUCGUUGGAUGAAUCCCUCCAAACGAACGACAAGGGGCUGGUCUGACGAAACACAUGGAUUCAGACGUCUGAACUAAAGUGUUUCCCAUUGUUGAUUGUUGCCUUGUCUAUCAUUGUCUACCCCAAG